UGGGGAAUAUUGCACAAUGGGCGAAAGCCUGAUGCAGCAACGCCGCGUGAGCGAUGAAGGCCUUCGGGUCGUAAAGCUCUGUCCUCAAGGAAGAUAAUGACGGUACUUGAGGAGGAAGCCCCGGCUAACUACGUGCCAGCAGCCGCGGUAAUACGUAGGGGGCUAGCGUUAUCCGGAAUUACUGGGCGUAAAGGGUGCGUAGGUGGUUUUUUAAGUCAGAGGUGAAAGGCUACGGCUCAACCGUAGUAAGCCUUUGAAACUGAGAAACUUGAGUGCAGGAGAGGAGAGUAGAAUUCCUAGUGUAGCGGUGAAAUGCGUAGAUAUUAGGAGGAAUACCAGUUGCGAAGGCGGCUCUCUGGACUGUAACUGACACUGAGGCACGAAAGCGUGGGGAGCAAACAGG
rnacentral:rRNA from 1 species